rnacentral:rRNA from 1 species
GUGACCGUGGGCGACGGACGCACAACACUGUUUUGGGAGGAUAGGUGGCUCAACGGAUACAUGAUACAUGAGCUAGCCCCUCUCAUCUUUGAGAUGGUGCCAAAGCGGAUGAGGUGCGCUAGAACGGUGACGGAAGCUUUACAAGACGCAUCAUGGGCUCGUGAUGUCGGCCCGGUCAUGAACGACAGAGCGCUAUUCCAGUUUCUCGAGGUUUGGCCACAUGUGGAUAGCACGACUCUGGAUCCACAACGACCGGAUCAACUUGCAUGGUCAUGGGAGAAGGAUGACGAUUUCUCGGCAAGGUCAGCCUAUGCGGCCAUAUUCGCGGUCCUACAAAGUUCAUCGACAACAACCUACACAUGGGCAUCGAAGGCACCCCUCCGCUAUCGAUUCUUCGCAUGGUUGGCCUUGAGGGAUAUAGUGUGGACCUCGGACAGACUGGAACGGCGCGGCCUCCCGUACCAGGACACCUGCCCGUUCUGUGAUCAAGAUGAUAAAAGAAUUAACCACCUCCUGAUACAGUGCGUUUUCACGAAGGAAGUUUGGACCAAGGUGAGUCAGGCGGUGGGCAUGAUGGGUGCGACACCAUCGAGGGUGACGAGCUAUAAACUUGGUGCACAAGACCAAUAUUCAAUGGAAAGCAUGCCAAGACCCUACGGGCUGUACACCUGCUAG